CGGGGUGAGUAACGCGUGGAGAACCUGCCGUAUACUGGGGGAUAACACUUAGAAAUAGGUGCUAAUACCGCAUAAGCGCACAGCUUCGCAUGAAGCAGUGUGAAAAACUCCGGUGGUAUACGAUGGAUCCGCGUCUGAUUAGCUGGUUGGCGGGGUAGAAGCCCACCAAGGCGACGAUCAGUAGCCGGCCUGAGAGGGUGAACGGCCACAUUGGGACUGAGACACGGCCCAAACUCCUACGGAAGGCAGCAG
rnacentral:rRNA from 1 species